GAUGGGGGAACAGUGGUUGGAUCACUGCCUUCACUAGCAUCAAAACCAACAAGGCGGUGGGAGCCAUCAUGAUCAUCGUGGCGAUCCUCUUCACCACCUGCGCCGUGCUCUCCAUCGUCCUGCUCAAGAUGGUCCACAGCAUGUACCGCCGCACCGGGGCCAGCUUCACGAAGGCGCAGCAUGAGUUCUCGCAGGGCGUCCUCACCAACAAGACCUUUCAGACGGCGGCUGCCGGAGCGGCCAGCACCGCGGCACAGGGAGCCUUCCAGGGGAACUGAGGCUGAGCUGAGCUGCAUGCCCCCGGUCAAGGUCUCUAUGUUAUCAAGUCCAGAUCAUUCAUUAAAUCAAAGCAGAAUGUAUCAGGAAGCUGAGGUUCACUGAGAACUUCCUGGAAGGUAUUGGAGGCGGCAGAUUUUAAUCUCACUUUAUAACGUACAGACCUUGAGCUAGGUGAGGCUACAUGAUUAGCCUCCCUCCUUUCACUCCCACUAUCGAUGCACAUGUAACUCCCCAUGUCUCACAUCCAGCAUGUCUCCUGCAGAGUGACUGCGUCGUCUCUGUAUUUAAAAAGCAGUCGAGGGGGGAAGCAACAAACCAAGUGCAUUGUGGGGUGGAAAGCAUGAAUGAAGUUGACCGUUACCUACUUAGUUUGUCCUGGCUUUGUAUAUUUUGUGUGCACUUUUUUGGCAAUGCUCUUCAGUGUAGUGUGUGUGUGUGUGUGUGUGUGUGUGUGUGUGUGUGUGUGUGUGUGUGUGUGUGUGUGUGUGUGUGUGUGUGUGUGUGUGUGUGUUGAUCACAUGUCUUCUUGUGGGCGCAGUACGCUUCUGUCUCUCCACACUAGUGGACCCUGAUCCUGUAAUAUAAAUAAUGAAGUGCGUUUUUCUGUCUUAAAGGAAUUCUCUUUGCUGUUGAAACUAUUUUUGGCGAACCAUCUCUUUAAGUGUGCGGCAAAGUUAAUAAGGAAACACAAUUACAGGUCAAUCAUGCACUUAAUUGUAAUCUGACGCGCCUUAGAUUUGGGGGAAAUGACUGUAAAUAUUCAUUCAAAUCUGCGGUUUAUUAAACAAUCCCCAUCAAUUGAGAUUACAGUACAAUGUCUUAAAACAUGUGCCUUUUAACUUUUCUCUGGAACCAAACUCGGAACAUUUGUUGAAAUGUUGAUAUCACAUAAAAACUAUUUCUACACAAACGUAACAUCCAUAGAGUACUCUGCUUUUUUUCCUGCUUGUAAACAGCUAAUUUAAUUUCUUUUAUAAUUAAGAAUAUGGAGAAAAUAUAAAUUGAUUUCACUCUGCAUCAGAUUUCUGUUUCCUAUAAUAUACAUGUUUAUGAAGCGGCUUCAAAUUCUUCUUCGCUCACUGCCUUUCAAGACCGUUUUUCCAAAGAAACCAAAGCAUUACUGACUUUUUAAAAAAAGGAACAUGUUGCUGAUGAAAUGGAGUCAAAGUAGAUACUGUAAUGGGCUGAGCCUAUUCAUUGGCUUUCAAUGCUAAGAGACAGAGCUGCUUAUGUUAUCAUGUAGAUUAACAGUAUGGAAAUCAGUCGGUGUGGAAAAUAUGAAUUAUAAGAAAACAUCUCAAACACUGUUUUGAGGUUUGUAGUGAAUCUGAUUUUAUUCUCGAACAGUAAUAAGAGAAACGUAUCCUUCUUUAAAGAGAACCAGCCUAUAAUCCUCACCAGUAUGCAGGUAUUAUAAUUGUAAUACAUUCUUUGCUUCAAUCUCACCUUGAAAUAAUUUCCUCUCUCGUUGUCUACUUGUACCUCUCAAAGACGACCACCAAGCUCUAAAUUAUUUUUCGUACUGAUGUAUAUUUUCUAUUGAAUUCCUUAUAUUAAAAAAACAUGCACACGUGUUAUUUCCAUAUCCUGUUCUAAAACAUCAGCUUGGAUUGAUCACCUGUUAGCAUUCCUGAAGAAAGACUGCAAACCGUGUGAUGUGUUGUCUGAUUUAUGGUUUGGUCUGUCAUCCAUUACACACCACAAGAUCUGUAUCAAUUCACACAUCACUGUUUGCGUUGUUGUGAGAGAAAAUAAUUCAGUGCCUUUCGUAUUUCAAUAUUGGAUUCAUCAUCUAAUAAAAUGCUUUGCUUUCA